AGCUCAUAAGUGUUCUCCUCUCAUUUGCUAAACUAGACUUAAAGUCUCACAACCUAAAAUUGGGUAGACGGUGAGUGUGUCUUAGAUCCAAAGUCUAAGCCUCACCUAGGAGACCUCACUUUAAUUGCUUUUCUAAUUCUCGACUAGAUAGCCUAUAUCUUGUGCGAAUAGGAAGCUCUCUUAGGGGUCCAAAUUUAGAGUUUAGGUUGUUUUUCUUUGCUUUGUGUGUUUUUGUUGUCUUUAAGACUUAAGUGGAUUUAAGAGUGAUUUUGAUCUAAGGACUCUAGUAAGUAGCUAGAAGCAUAUUUGGCAAGGAUAAGGCUUGGUACUUAAGCAAUCCUAGUGAUUCACCUCCCUUACCUGGAAUAUUGCUUUCANGGCAAGGAUAAGGCUUGGUACUUAAGCAAUCCUAGUGAUUCACCUCCCUUACCUGGAAUAUUGCUUUCAAGUGAAAAUCUUUAGUCUUUAUUUCAAGAAUAACAUUUAAGUCCACCAUAAUGUCUAGAAGGCAUUCUCCUAGGAUUAGUGAUAGUGAAAAUC
rnacentral:lncRNA from 1 species